GACGAACGCUGGCGGCGUGCUUAACACAUGCAAGUCGAACGGAAAGGCCCUGCUUUUGUGGGGUGCUCGAGUGGCGAACGGGUGAGUAACACGUGAGUAACCUGCCCUUGACUUUGGGAUAACUUCAGGAAACUGGGGCUAAUACCGGAUAGGAGCUCCUGCUGCAUGGUGGGGGUUGGAAAGUUUCGGCGGUUGGGGAUGGACUCGCGGCUUAUCAGCUUGUUGGUGGGGUAGUGGCUUACCAAGGCUUUGACGGGUAGCCGGCCUGAGAGGGUGACCGGCCACAUUGGGACUGAGAUACGGCCCAGACUCCUACGGGAGGCAGCAGUGGGGAAUAUUGCACAAUGGGCGGAAGCCCGAUGCAGCAACGCCGCGUGCGGGAUGACGGCCUUCGGGUUGUAAACCGCUUUCGCCUGUGACGAAGCGUGAGUUACGGUAAUGGGUAAAGAAGCACCGGCUAACUACGUG
rnacentral:rRNA from 1 species